UUGUUUGUUUUGUUUUCUUUCCCAUUAGAAGCAUUCUCAGUUGUCCGGGAAUCCUCUGUUACCCACUCGUGCUUCAGAGUGGAAUUAAAAAGCCAGCUGGGAACUCUGACCCAGUCUGCUCACCUGCGGAAUGAGGACAGUAACAGUCCCCCGGGAGUAAGUGAGUCAGCGUGGGGAGGAUGCACGGCCCCCGAGUCAGGCCACCUAAGUGUCCCUGUGGUUGACUACCUUGCCCCAACUCCAGAGUCUGACCGCUCGUCCCUCAAGCUGUUAUAAACUCACCGCAUCAUUUCUUUUUGUUACUAAAGGUGGGAAAGACAAAAUUGAAAAAAAAUAAGGACCCCGAAACACCCUCCUGUGAAGCACGUGUUGAAACAUUUGACAUGUGUUGAACUACAGGGCUCUCCCGCCAGCCCCAGCCUGCCCACCGCCGCCCAGGACCCGGGAGAGGGCGCGCGGCGCGGGGCGCACACACCCGUGAAGGUGCGGCUUUCCCCCCCGCAGCGUCUCCCGAUCCCUCGCGGGGACAGUUCUAGCUCUCCUCUCCUGCCCGACAGAGCCGGCUGGAAGGCCAGAGAGCGCACGAACCAGUUCGCUGGAAGCUGAACUCCAAGCAAUGCUUUCAGUGCAAACCGGAGCGUGUCCCUGUUUCAUAUUUAACUUGCAACACGAUACCCGGCGGCCGCCGAGGGACUGGGAAAGGUCUGCGAGCCGAUGACGAGGCGCCCGCUGAGAUGGGCUCCACGCGCAGGUAACACUCAGCUCUAGACAGCGUCUCCGACCUACAUCCCGGCCCCCUUUAAAGUUAAUCUGAACGCCCCGCACGGGAGAGGAAAUGAAAAGUGAGUUUUGCUCCUUUACCGUGGCACUGGGACUUCCUGAGGUUUUCAGGCCACUGCCGAUUGGUCCAGCGCUACCAUUUCCUUCGAACUAUUCCCACUUGUGUCUGUCGGACGUAAUUAGGGUUGCACGCUAAAAAGAAGUGUUAAAAUGUAACAGUGCCGUGAAAUCUGACAACUAUUUUUUACUUUAACCCUCAGCACAUCAGGAAAAACAGCUAUUAGCAUUUGGCAUCCGGGUCCGAUGGAAUCUUUAUAUUUUCAAG